CCACUUCGAAUGCGUACUCCAGUCCUAGUAUCGUAUUAGCCAGCUAUGGCAAUGACGGAUCUCGAAAAAUCUUGGAUGACUUCCGAGAAGCGUAUGGAUGGCUAUCACAGAAUACCGCAGAAGAUGCAAGAAUUAUGUCAUGGUGGGAUUAUGGAUAUCAGAUAGCAGGUAUGGGUAACAGAACAACUUUAGUAGAUAACAAUACUUGGAACAACUCUCACAUCGCGCUGGUGGGUAAGGCGAUGGCGAGCAACGAGACCGCGGCGUACGACAUCAUGUCGAUGCUGGACGUGGACUACGUGCUGGUCAUCUUCG